ACUCCUACGGGAGGCAGCAGUAGGGAAUAUUGGACAAUGGGGCGCAAGCCUGAUCCAGCCAUGCCGCGUGAGUGAAGAAGGCCCUCGGGUUGUAAAGCUCUUUUGUUGGGGAAGAAAAGCCUUGGGUUAAUACCCGGUCCGUGNCAGUUACCAAAGAAUAACACCGGCUAACUUCGUGCCAGCAGCCGCGGUAAUACGAAGGGUGCAAGCGUUACUCGGAAUUACUGGGCGUAAAGCGUGCGUAGGCGGCUUUGUAAGUCGGAUGUGAAAGCCCCGGGCUUAACCUGGGAAUGGCAUUCGAUACUCGCAGAGCUAGAGUAUGGUAGAGGGAAGUGGAAUUUGCCGGUGUAGCGGGUGAAAUGCGGUAGAUAUCGGAAGGAACACCGGUGGCG
rnacentral:rRNA from 1 species